GCUUGCUUGUUGGGGUUGUAGGACACUCUAUACGGAGUUACAAAGGACGACAUUAGACGAAUCAUCUGGAAAGAUGAAUCAAAGAAGGUAAUAAUCCUGUAGUCGAAAAUGUUGUCUCUCUUGAGUGGAUCCUGAGUACGACGGAGCACGUGAAAUUCCGUCGGAAUCUGGGAGGACCAUCUCCUAAGGCUAAAUACUCUCUAGUGACCGAUAGUGAACCAGUACCGUGAGGGAAAGGUGAAAAGCACCCCGGAAGGGGAGUGAAAUAGAACCUGAAACCGUGUGCUUACAAGUAGUCAGAGCCCGUUAAUGGGUGAUGGCGUGCCUUUUGUAGAAUGAACCGGCGAGUUACGAUUUGAUGCAAGGUUAAGC
rnacentral:rRNA from 1 species